AUGGAGUUUCGCUCUUGUUGCCCAGGCUGGAGUGCAAUGGUGAGAUCUCUGCUCACUGCAACCUCCACCUCCCAGGUUCAAGGGAUUCUUGUGCCUCAGCCUCCUGAGUAGCUGAGAUUACAGGCACCCACCACCACGUCCGGCUAAGUUGUUGUUUUUUGUUUUUGUUCUUGUUUUUUUGAGAGAUGGAGUCUUGAUCUGUCACCCAGGCUGGAGUGGAGUGGCGGUAUCUCGGCUCACUGCAACCUCCACCUCCCGGGUUUGAGCGAUUCUCCUGCCUCAGCUUCCCAAGUAGCUGGGACCACAGACGUUUGCCACCACUCCCAGUUAAUUUUUGUAUUUUUUUAGUAGAGUUGGGGUUUCACUAUAUGUUGGCCAGCCUGGUCUCAAACUCCUGACCUCAGGUGAUCUGCCCACCUCGGCCUCCCAAAGUGUUGGGAUUAUAGGCGUGAGCCACCGUGCCUGGCCAAUUUUUUGUAUUUUUUUGUAGAGACGGGGUUUCACCAUGUUGGCCAGGCUGGUCUUGAAUUCCUGGCCUCAGGUUAUCCGCCUGCCUGAGCCUCCCAAAGUGCUGGAUUACAGGCAUGACCCACCAAACCCAGCCCAAAUAUAUUUGCAUAUAUAUAUAUUUUAAUAUCCCACGCCUACACUCUGGGAUAACUCAGCUCUUACAGGCAGUAAUCAUGGGUCAGACCUGCCAUUAUCCAGUUCAGCCCAUUUCAUUUGACAGACACCUGGUGAAUAGAGACAUGCAGGGACUCUUGUCCACAUUUGCCCAGUUGGCUGAUAGCACAGUGUACAAAGUCUGUCUGCAGCAGGUCAUAAUUUCACAGCUCUGCCACAUGCAUGUAUAUCACUGUACCAAGCGUGUUCACAUGGUAUGGUGCUGACACAUGUUGACGGAAUGUGGUACAGACCCUCUGUGUGAAGUGUGUUCACACAGUGCGGUGCUGACCCUCUGUAUGAAGCGUGUUCACACGGUGCGGUGCUGACCCUCUGUAUGAAGCAUGUUCACGUAGUGCAGUGCUGACUCUGUAUGAAGUGUGUUCACACAAUGAGGUGCUGAUCUUCUGUAUGAAGCAUGUUCACACAGUGCAGUGCUGACUCUCUGUAUGAAGUGUGUUCACACGGUGCAUUGCUGACCUUCUGUAUGAAGUGUGUUCACACAGUGAGGUGCUGAUCUUCUGUAUGAAGCAUGUUCACACGGUGCAGUACUGACUCUCUGUAUGAAGUGUGUUCACACGGUGCGGUGCUGACUCUCUGUAUGAAGCGUGUUCACACAGUGCGGUGCUGACUCUCUGUAUGAAGCAUGUUCACACGGUGCGGUGCUGACUCUCUGUAUGAAGUGUGUUCACCUGGUGCAGUACAGGCUCUCUGCAUGAAGCAUGUUCACACAGUGCGGUGCUGACCCUCUGUAUGAAGCGUGUUCACACAGUGCAUGUGAAACCAGAACCGACAGUCGAACCCAAGCAGAAGUCUUGACCAAGCACUUCCCUCCUGGGAAUGCACCAUGAUAUCACCACACCGAAGUCCAGGCUGGCAAAUAGGGACAUUUAAGUGACAUUUAAGCUCGUGGUGGCCCUAUGAGGAGUCAUUGCUGACUGAGAUGGGAUUUUAAGGUGUUGCCUGCCUGUGUGUUCUCAGACCCUCUCCUGAAGCCCC
rnacentral:lncRNA from 10 species